UACGAAGGGGGCGAGCGUUGUUCGGAAUUACUGGGCGUAAAGGGCGCGUAGGCGGUGUGCCAAGUCAGGCGUGAAAGCCCCGGGCUCAACCUGGGAACGGCGCUUGAGACUGGCACGCUCGAGUUCGGGAGAGGAUGGUGGAAUUCCCAGUGUAGAGGUGAAAUUCGUAGAUAUUGGGAAGAACACCGAUGGCGAAGGCAGCCAUCUGGACCGACACUGACGCUGAGGCGCGAAAGCUAGGGGAGCAAACGGG
rnacentral:rRNA from 1 species